CCGCCCAUUAAAGCUGAGACUAUGCGUUUUCCCCCAGGGGACCCUGUCAGUGGCUGCAGAUAGCAAACAGCCUCCUUAGUCAUGUAGCAACCUGUGGCCUGUGUGGCUGUUCUAAGGGACCUUGGAGAUGGUU